rnacentral:rRNA from 1 species
AUGAACCACGUACGCUCAUCCUCCACGGCGGAGACAUGCGCGCAGACGUACAGCUUCCUCCCCUGCACCACCACUGCGCUUGGCAACCUCUUCCUGGUUCUUGCCUACGGCAUCCUGAAUUACAAGGUGCGAGUUUCCUUCUUGACGGCCGGGAGCGACUUGCUGCUGGAGACCAUCGGCCCUGGCUAUGUCGGCCACGGCCACAUCGUCACGCUCCUGCUCCCGAUGCUCGGCGCCCUCCCCGACGCGCUCCUCGUGCUCGCAUCUGGCCUCUCGGGAAGCGGAGAAAAGGCACAAAAUCAGGUUCUGGUCGGAAUGGGUCUGCUUGCUGGCUCCACGAUCUUUCUUCUCACCGUCGUUUGGGGGACUUGUGUUUUUGCUGGCAAGUGUGACAUUGGGCCCAAUGGUGCUGCCAUUGAUUUAGAAGACAAUAAAGGGUGGUUCAGUUUUACUGGCAGUGGUAUUUCAACCGACGACGAAACCAGCUGGACGGCACGAAUCAUGGCGAUUUGUGUUAUUCCUUUCGCCAUUGCACUUUUCCCAAAAAUGUUGAGAACCCAGCCCGGGCAUCGCCUACCAAUCUUGCUGGCUAGCAUUGUAUCAUUCUUGCUUGCACUCUCCUACUGCAUGUUUCAGAUCUUCCUACCCUGGAUCCAGCGGAGGCGACUCGCGUUUGCAAAACAUAGGCAUGUAAUCUCUGGCAUACUAAAACAUGCCCAAAUGCAAGCGCUCGGACGUCUGCUAAACGACGAUGGCACGCCUAAUGAAAAUGUGAUAAGAAAAUUGUUCUACAAGAUUGACAAUGAUGGUAGCCGCGACCUGUCACGAGCUGAGCUGCAUGCCCUUAUCAUUGGAAUCAACUUUGAGGAGAUUGAUUUUGACAAGAAUGACGUCGUGGACAAAAUCAUGGACGACUUCGACACAUCAGGCAAUGACACAGUAGAUGAGGAAGAGUUCCUCGCAGGAAUGAAGAUAUGGAUAAAUGAGGCCAAGAGAAAGGUGCAGGCUUCGGGUGCGUAUGCUAACAAGUUCAUCAACGACUACCAUGAGUCCCAACAAGCGGUCUUGAUCCUGCAGAGAACACGGGAGGAACACGAUCAGCUGGCGGUAAGCGAUGAAGAGGUGGAGCCUGUGGAAAACCCCGGAAGAAUGAUUGUCAAGGCCGUGGGUCUCAUGCUUGUGGGUGCUGCCAUCCCUGCCGCGUUUGCGGACCCACUUGUCGACGCCAUAUACAGCCUGUCCAAGGCUACACACGUAUCGUCCUUCUUCGUCUCCUUCGUUGUGCUCCCGCUGGUGAACAACUCCAGCGAGGUCGUCUCUGCCGUCAGGUCCAUGAGAAAGAAGAAGCGAAGGAGCGCUUCCCUCGCUUUAUCGGAGGUGUACUGUGUUGUGACUGUGAACAACCUGAUGUGCUUGGGCAUGUUCCUGGCGCUGGUCUAUGCCCGGGACAUAACGUGGGACUUCUCCUCUGAGCUGCUCAUCAUUUUGCUUGUCUGCAUCGUCAUGGGCCUCUUCACGAGCUUCCGGACCAACUUCCCUCUGUGGACGUGCCUGGUGGCAUACUUGCUCUACCCACUGUCUCUCGUCCUCGUUCACAUUCUCGACUCGGUCUUCCAUUGGUCGUAA